rnacentral:snRNA from 1 species
CUGCUCACUUCAGCAGCACAUAUACUAAAACUGGAACAAUACAGAGAACAUUAGCAUGGCCCCCACGUAAGGAUGACACGCAAAUUCAUGAAGUGUUCCAUAACAAA